GUAACAAUUUCUCUUCCUCCGACUUGGGAACAAAACUUUUCAGCGAGCACGCAGGUCGCCGCAGUCCUGCGGCCGCCGCCGCGGUGCUCGUCCGCCCCCGCGGAGCGACCGGGUCGGCCCGGAGCCGGGCCCCGCCACCGCGCUCCCGAGCCCCGGGCCGGGCCCCCUCCCCAGCCCCGGGCUCUCAGGGCUCGGCCGGGGCGUUUCGCCUUUGUGCUUUGUAAGGGAAAGCCUUUUCUUCCAGGGCACCGCAAACUUGGGCGGAGCGCUUCCGUGUGGCCCCCCGGGCGAGGCCGCCCCCGCUGGGGAGGCCGUCUGAGGGGAUGCCCGGGCCGCCCGUGGCUCCACGCGCCCCUCCGAGCGCUCGGGGCCCGGGGGGACCCCGGCCGGCGAGGGCGCGCGGGAGCCCCGAAGUGGCGGGGGCUCCGGCCGCCCGGAGGCGGAGGAAGAGCUCGCGCUUCCCGUUCGGAACGCGCCGCUCGUUUGGACCCCGGCCCCGGCCGCGGCUGCAGCGGAGGGCCGGGGCCCGGGCCCGGGGGCGGGGGCGGGGGCGCUCGGCGUGGGGUUCGGCGCUGCCCGGCGUGGCGUGGCGGGCCCGGGCGGCCGGGGUCCGUGGCCUGCGCCGCCUGCGCGCCCCGGGGCGGCCGAGGGGGAGGGCUGGGGCGCUCCCUGCCCGCCGAUGCCCGCCGGUGCCCGCCGAUGCCCGCCGGCCACGCCGCUCUUGCAGCCCCCGCUCCGGACCCGGCCCGAGGGGCAAAGGGGGAAGAAAGGAAAAAUAAAGAGGCAAAAGGGCGGGCAGCGAGGAGGCGGCGGGUCGGCCCAGAGGGAGCAGAGCGGCCAGGGACGCCCGGCCUCCCCUUCUGCCCGUCGCGGGGGUUCUCGCCGAAAAUGGAGAAGGAACCGCGGGGGGAAGGCAGGAAGAGCGUCGAGGAAGAGAUGCGGGAGCCUUCCGCUCCCGUCCCUGCCGGCCCGCGGAAGCCCGGCCGAAGUGGCGUGAAUCNNNNNNNNNNGGGCAGGAAGCUCAAUCGUUAA
rnacentral:lncRNA from 12 species